GAUGAACGCUGGCGGCGUGCCUAAUACAUGCAAGUCGAGCGAACGGACGAGAAGCUUGCUUCUCUGAUGUUAGCGGCGGACGGGUGAGUAACACGUGGAUAACCUACCUAUAAGACUGGGAUAACUUCGGGAAACCGGAGCUAAUACCGGAUAAUAUUUUGAACCGCAUGGUUCAAAAGUGAAAGACGGUCUUGCUGUCACUUAUAGAUGGAUCCGCGCUGCAUUAGCUAGUUGGUAAGGUAACGGCUUACCAAGGCAACGAUGCAUAGCCGACCUGAGAGGGUGAUCGGCCACACUGGAACUGAGACACGCUCCAGACUCCUACGGGAGGCAGCAGUAGGGAAUCGUCCGCAAUGGGCGAAAGCCUGACGGAGCAACGCCGCGUGAGUGAUGAAGGUCUUCGGAUCGUAAAACUCUGUUAUUAGGGAAGAACAUAUGUGUAAGUAACUGUGCACAUCGUGACGGUACCGAAUCAGAAAGCCACGGCUAACUACGUG
rnacentral:rRNA from 1 species